UCAGCAAAGCCCAGCUGCCCGGGCCCAGCCCCUGCAGCUGCGGCAGUUCCAGGGAUGCCGGCCCUCAGAGGCCCCGAAGGGCUUUCACAUCCCCAACCGAUAAAAGAGGUCAUUCAUUUGCAUUACAGUAGAGUUUCUGAUUAACAAAAAGGUUCAAAGACAGUUAAGGCUGAGCCUCCAGAUCUAGAACCUGACGCCUCCAGUUCUGGUCUCAGUGAAUGAGCCGGUCCAGUUAGAACCUCGGGCCCAGCGCUGGGAGCCAAAGCGCUUCUUACACACCUUAAAAUCCCACAACUCAAGUUAGCCAGCAUUACCCAGCAUCCAACUGGAGCCCCAUUUUACAGACGGAGGAAGCCAUGGGUUAAGCGGUUUGCCCUAAGUCCCUGCAGGUGGUGAGCUGCGGAGCCGGGUUUUGGCCUCAGGUGCCUCCUCUCCCAAUCUGGAGUCGCUUCCACUUAAUUCUACCUGGCGGAAUCUCGCUUGGGCCUUGGGGCCGCAACUAGCUUCCCAGACUCCCUCAGGCUUCCAUAUUCUAUGACCUCAUUAAUGUCCACCAGAUUCACAGAAUUUAAAGCACCACUCCUACAUAUUCAUGGUCCAGAUAAUUUCGUUAAGUAUCUAUUGUACCUUAGAGUUAAAGACCUUUAGGGAAUAGCUCCUGGAGCUCAGAUCCAGAUUCCAAGGGGAACCUAAAUCUACAGUCAAGGCCUGAAUGGGAGGCUCCCAACAGGCAGAGGUGACUGGGAUGGGGGGCAUAAAGGCCCUGGGUGCCAGGAGAAAAAACAAGGAGUACUGAAGCAGGCAGAGUGUCAUGAAAGAGACCCAGCCUUGGAAGUCAGGAUUUGCUGAACCCUGGCAGCCCCCAUUAAGUAACUGCAUAACUCUACAUAAACCAGGUCAACUCUUUGGGCUUUAUUUGUGCCAUCUGUAAAAUGGGCAUCCUAAAGCAGCGUUGUCAAGGCUAAAGGAAGUAGGCCAUGGACAAUAUUUGGUAGCUCUCAUGUGAGCUAUUGGAGUUUAUUAUUAUUUAUUCUUCUGGAUAGAGAGCUGGCUCUCUGAGCACUAGGAAAUCGUGGAUUCUAGUCCCAACACUGACACAUCCUGGCUGUGGAACCCACAACAAAUCCUGAAAUCAUUCAGUACUUUCAUUCAAGCAACUAAGACUAAAUUGGAGAGAAAGUCCAGAUUGUAUUGGGAAAUACAAGUUCCCCAUAGAGGGAAAUCAUAGGUCCCAUUUAUAAGGAGAAAUCUCAGGUUCUGUUCCUAUCCCUAUGAAAACGUAAGCUUCCUGAGGACAAAGUUUAUUUUCUUCCCUUUGCCUUAGUACCCCAGAGGAGGUUUUUUUUUCUCCCUUUUGCCUUAGUAUCCCUGAGGACAGGGUUUAUUUCCUCCUCUUUGCCUUAGUACCCCUGAGGAUAGAGGUUUUUUCCCUCUCUUUUGCCUCAGUACCCCUGAGGACAGGGUUUAUUGUCUCCCCUUUGUUAGAGCUUCUUUUAAAAGGCUGAUCAUCUGAAUUACUAUUAUUGAAAUCCUCCCUUCUCAGAAGCCUCAACAAGGCAGGAACAUGACUUUGAAUUCUUCAAGGUCAACUAUACCCGUCCUUACAAAGCUGGAGGAAAAGCUCAGCCCAGCUCGGAGUUGAAACCAGGUUUCUGUCUGUCAAGGAUGAUUUAAAAAAAAAAAAAAAAAAAAAAAAAGACAAUUAGACUUUCAUAGCCCUGCCCAAAAGUUUCUUUAAACUGAAGAUCCCAGUAGAACAAAAAAAAUCCAUUGGCAAAAAUUCAGCUCCGGGACACGGUCAAAUCAAGUCAUACUCAAUGGUUUGGCCUGGAAAACCUCCAGGUCACACCCUUUUUAAAAUGAGGGAGCAGGGGGUGAAGUUCCCCCGAAGGGAUCAGAGCCGGGAUUCCACCCAGCAAAGAACGUGGGAGCAGGUUGUCAGGGCUAGGCCCUCCUUCUUCCCUUAGCCCCUGCCUCUGCUACUCUCCAGUCUAUGUCAGGUGUUUGCUUGUCGGAGCUGGGAGUCACCCACUGGCCUUCCAGCUCAUUACGUCCCCUCCCACGCCCACCCUCAACCAGAAGGAAAACCCAAGGCCCGACAGGGUAAAGAGUGCGCCCAGUCUCUCAGCGUCUCCCUGGGAGGGGGUCCGCAUGUCACUGUGGGCCAGGGGAAGAAGCAGGACAAAUCAGCGCCCCUAAGAGGCACCCUCCUGCUAGGAGAAACCCGGGCUUCCCAGAGCAGGGGACGUUGGAGCACUAAGUGCCCGGGGCGCCGGGAGGCGGCCUGACCGCUCGGGCCUCGGGCCAAGCCUCUCUUGGCUCAGUUUCCGUAUUUGCACCGGCGCACACGCUAACAGGACGGGACGCUCUGAAAGCUAGGCUCUGACCCGCAAAACAAACGCCAAACUGCGUGCCGCGAAAUUCGGAUCUCCCGCGGAAAAUAACGCCCUCGGAUUGGUCAGAACAACAGGCACAGGCUCCACCCACCGGAAAGGAUACAUUCUGCCAGGAGUCAAUUGCAACAGAACGUUCUUCCCUUAAAGGGACCGCACCCAUCAUCUCCUAGUGGGCGAGGAUCUGCGCCUUUCAUUCAGGACCGGAUUUGCCGGUGCUUAGGAACUCGCGGGCCAAUAGUUUGGGAAGAUUUGGUUCCCGAGGAAAUGACGGAGGCAGGUGGAGUGAGGCAGGACGGAACCCUGGCAUGAUGCGGGAGGGGGAGGGCAUCUUUGCCCUCCUCACCCCGGUCACCCUUGCAACAGUUUCCUUUCCUUCCCUCCCAAUUUUUUAUGAAUGUAAAUAAAGACAAAACAAAAAUAAAGUAGCAGGAGCAUCGUUAACCACA